GGACCCGCACAAGUAGUGGAGCAUGUGGUUUAAUUCGAAGAUACGCGCAGAACCUUACCAACACUUGACAUGUUCGUCGCGACUCUAAGAGAUUAGAGUUUUCGGUUCGGCCGGACGAAACACAGGUGCUGCAUGGCUGUCGUCAGCUCGUGUCGUGAGAUGUUGGGUUAAGUCCCGCAACGAGCGCAACCCUUGUCCUUAGUUGCCAGCACGUAAUGGUGGGAACUCUAAGGAGACUGCCGGUGACAAACCGGAGGAAGGUGGGGAUGACGUCAAGUCCUCAUGGCCCUUACGUGUUGGGCUACACACGUGCUACAAUGGUAUCUACAACAGGAAGCAAAACUGCGAAGUUAAGCAAAUCCUAAAAAGAUACCUCAGUUCGGAUUGCACUCUGCAACUCGAGUGCAUGAAGCUGGAAUC
rnacentral:rRNA from 1 species